GUGAAUCAUCGAAUUUUUGAACGCAAAUUGCACUCUCUGCGAAUAGUAGGCCUGUUUGAGGUUCAGCCUAAAAAAAAUAGACAUAGUUGCUGUGACGCGGUGACAUUCGUCGGAAAUUGUGUCAUCUUAAACCUUUGGGUUUAGGCGGCUUAAAAUGUUCUUAGCAAUACCAGGACCUUGAUGA
rnacentral:misc_RNA from 1 species